GAUGAACGCUGGCGGCGUGCCUAAUACAUGCAAGUCGAGCGAACGGACGAGAAGCUUGCUUCUCUGAUGUUAGCGGCGGACGGGUGAGUAACACGUGGAUAACCUACCUAUAAGACUGGGAUAACUUCGGGAAACCGGAGCUAAUACCGGAUAAUAUUUUGAACCGCAUGGUUCAAAAGUGAAAGACGGUCUUGCUGUCACUUAUAGAUGGAUCCGCGCUGCAUUAGCUAGUUGGUAAGGUAACGGCUUACCAAGGCAACGAUGCAGAGCCGACCUGAUAGGGUGAUCGCUCACACUGGAACUGAGACACGUUCCAGACUCCUACGGGAGGCAGCAGUAGGGAAUCUUCCGCGAUGGGCCAAAGCCUGACGGAGCAACGCCGCGUGAGUGAUGAAGGUCUUCGGAUCGUAAGACUCUGUUAUUAGGGAAGAACAUAUGUGUAAGUAACUGUGCACAUCUUGACGGUACCUAAUCAGAAAGCCACGGCUAACUACGUG
rnacentral:rRNA from 1 species